AGCUCCAAUAGCGUAUGUUAAAGUUGUUGCGGCUAAAAAGCUCGUAGUUGGAUUUCUAGAUGAGAGGAGUGGUCCACUCUAUGAGUGUGUAUCUACUUCCGCUCGUCUAUCCGCUCUGCAAACGUGUCUGCGCUUGACUGCGUGGCGCGGAGGUAGGGCCUUUUACUUUGAGGAAAUUAGAGUGUUCACGGCAGGCAAUCGCCUUGAAUAUAUUAGCAUGGAAUAAUAACAUAGGAUCUUGGUUCUAUUUUGUUGGUUUCUAGGGCUAAGAUAAUGAUUAAUAGGGACAAUUGGGGGCAUUCGUAUCGCGGUGUCAGAGGUGGAAUUCUUGGAUUACUGCGCGACGAACUACUGCGAAAGCAUUUGCCAAGGAUGUUUUCAUUG
rnacentral:rRNA from 1 species